CCUACGGGUGGCAGCAGUGGGGGAUAUUGCACAAUGGGGGAAACCCUGAUGCAGCGACGCCGCGUGGGCGAAGAAGUAUUUCGGUAUGUAAAGCCCUAUCAGCAGGGAAGAAGAAAUGACGUUACCUGAGUAAGAAGCACCGGCUAAAUACGUGCCAGCAGCCGCGGUAAUACGGAGGGGGCAAGCGUUAUCCGGAUUUACUGGGUGUAAUGGGAGCGCAGGUGGCACGGCAAGCCUGAUGUGAAAGCCCGCGGCUCAACCGCGGGACGGCAUUGGGAACUGCCGGGCUGGAGUGCCGGAGAGGAAGGUGGAAUUCCUAGUGUAGCGGUGAAAUGCGUAGAUAUAUGGAGGAACACCAGUGGCGAAGGCGGCCUACUGGACGGUGACUGACGCUGAGGCUCGAAAGCGUGGGGAGCAAACAGGAUUAGAUACCCGGGUAGUC
rnacentral:rRNA from 1 species